UGGGGAAUCUUGCGCAAUGGGCGAAAGCCUGACGCAGCGACGCCGCGUGAGUGAUGAAGGCCUUCGGGUUGUAAAGCUCUGUGGAGGGGGACGAAUAAGGGCUGGCUAAUAUCCAGCUCGAUGACGGUACCCCUUUAGCAAGCACCGGCUAACUCUGUGCCAGCAGCCGCGGUAAGACAGAGGGUGCAAACGUUGUUCGGAAUUACUGGGCGUAAAGCGCGUGUAGGCUGCUUGGAAAGUCGGAUGUGAAAGCCCUGGGCUCAACCUAGGAAGUGCAUUCGAAACUUCUGAGCUGGAGUGCUGGAGAGGAAGGCGGAAUUCUCGGUGUAGAGGUGAAAUUCGUAGAUAUCGAGAGGAACACCGGUGGCGAAGGCGGCCUUCUGGACAGCAACUGACGCUGAGACGCGAAAGCGUGGGGAGCAAACAG
rnacentral:rRNA from 1 species